CGGGGAGGAGGCGCCGGCAGCUCCACGCUUCUCCGCGCCGCCGCCGCCGCCGCCGCUGCCCCUCGCCCGCCGCGCGCCGUCCUCUUGGGGCAAAGUUUCGGGGUCUGCGAUCGACAAGAGACCGGGGCGACCCUCAGCAAGUCUUCCUUCCGUGAAGGUUGUGUAGUGAGGGGCUCGAAGGGGACGAGGUGAUUAGGCGGAGGGGGCCGGAGUAGAUAGGGGGGCAGCAGGAAGGAGAGGACCCCGAGCUCCGGGGGGGACAGGGUAGGAGGAUGCGCCGCGGGGGAUCCCUGCAGGGAUCGGGAAACCCGGAGCCCGGCUUGAGCCUUAGUCUCAGCACCUUCCCGGGAUCUUACAAAGUUGCAACAACAAAAAAGGAGGGGCAGGACCGGGGGAAAGGGGUGGGAUAGGGCUGCGGUGGCAGGCGCAAGGUUUGGAGUUACAACUGUUUAUUUAGUCCUUAGACUCCCAGGGGGCGGGAGCUGCGCGGGAAUGGGGGUGCUGCAGGCAGCAAUUUCCAAGCAAACACUGGGGUGGGGGGGCAUGAGACUUUGUUUCUGGGCGCGGAGCUCCCUGGCGCCCGUGUGUGUCACCGCCAGUCUCCAGGGACUAAGGCGGAGCUCACAACAGGUGGGGAGGGGGACAAGGAAUCAAAGUUUCCGAGCGCAGCAGGGUGUGAGGGGGGAGAGAAGGGGAGGCGGGGGCGCGAGGAGGCGGAGGCAGCAGAUGACCACGACCCUGCGGCAGCUGGCAAACUCCUCGGCUCCCGGCGCCGCCGCCACCGCCUCGGUCCCCACCCGAAGCGCGCGCCGCCUCGUCUGGUCGGCUCCAGAGAGACGUCUCCGAGGGACAGGAACCGAGAAUCGAGAGCACGGGAGGAAAGCUGCGCGCAGGACAGCCAGCUAUAGGAGAAAACCAAGGACAUAUACCUCUAUCAUUUGCCUGAAGAAGAACAGGAAUGCACACCUUGGCUGGAAAUCAGUGAUCAGGUACUGUCCUGCUGCCCACUGUGGUCCAUCAUCAAAGAAAAGAGUUCUUGAGCCAAAGAUGCUGAUUUGAUGGUGGAAGUGAUGGAGAAUAAGUAAGCUGCUUCGAUGAAGUCUGGAUUAUAUCACAAGAAAAACUACAGGCACGGGGAACAAUAGAAAUAAUUUGGGAUGUCCUAGAAAGGACUAGAGACUAGAACAUGAAAACCCGCUGUGUAAGACCAUUCCAGGCAGAGACAACAGCAAUUACUUUUCUCAUUGGUGUGGCAAAAAUACUGGAGAAAAGCAACUCAGGAGGUCACGUUGAUUUUGGCUGAGUGUUUAUACAAGGAUACAGACCAUCCCAGGUGAUGGCAUCAUCCUGGCAGCAGGAGGCUGAGGCAGCUGGUCAGACUUCAUCUGCAAUCAGGACGCAGAGGAAGAUGAACGCUUGGUGUUCAGCUUGCCUAGAAUGGGAUGGUGCCUUCUACAUUUAGGGUAGGUUUUCCCACUGCAACGAACCCAAUCAAAAUACUGCAAACUCCUUCACAAACAUGCUCAGAAGUUUGUCUCCUGGGUGAUUCAAGACCCUCUCAAGUUGGCAAUGCCAACCACCACCAAGUUCAAAGGCUCCAAGGUGGCAGAGAUAUUAAUACUGGAGCAUUAAGCAUCCACCAAGCAUGUGCUGCACCGGAGGACUCUCGCUUUGUGUGCUUUUUGAGCCAGUAACUAUCAGAAACAACUCCCACCAGCUCAUAAGGAACCCUACUGAGUAUUUCUUAGAAGAUUUUCAUGUAUUCCGGGCUAAUCUUGAAUUCACCAUACAACCCUGUACUCUGGAUCUCCCCACCUCUUCCUCUCCAGUGUUAAGAGAGCAGAUGUGCACCAUGCCUGACUCAUGCCCCACCAGGGACUGAACCCAGGGCUUCCUGCCUGCCAGAUUGCCGUCAUCCCCUCUGGGUUUCAUCCCCUGGGCUCUCUGAGGUUGGUGAGGAAACUGGAGCAGGGACAAGUCCUUCGCUCACAGUGUUCUUCUUGUUGCUGCUGACGAUCCUCUACCAGCCUUCUCUCUCCCUUCCCGAGCGGUGCUGGGCUUGCUAACUGAACAGCUGCACUUGUUAUCAACUGGAAGCCUUCACACAUGGCAAUCCUAAUGCCACAUCACAAUGAAUAAUUGGACGUUGG
ensembl:lncRNA LOC102555037 uncharacterized LOC102555037